GGGAGAGAAAGAGAAAGAGCCUGCAUCUAAUCUUCUGUGCUCUCUAUACUUCUGUCACC
rnacentral:pre_miRNA from 1 species